AUGUGGACCUGCUCGCUGGCUCUGGCCGCCGUGAUGCUCGUCUCUACGUCCACAGCUCGAUCACCGUUUAUAGCAAGCCAUUGUUGUUAUAAAACCUCUUCAAAACAGAUCAAGGGAGACAUCAGGACUUGUUACAGAGUGGGGGUGCGUGAUGGCUGCAGGAUAGAAGCCUACGCGCUUGAAAUGGUCCAUGGUAAAACGUACUGUGUCAAAGAGACUCAACGAAAUCUCCAACAGUAUUUGAAGAAAAACCCGUGUCCUUCAGUUAUCUCCAAGAAACGCAGGCUUAAAGAUGCAGAUUUAAAGGCCAAUCGCUGACUGUUACUGCUUGAUGCUCUAUCAAAAAAAUUUGUAUUUACUGGCAUUAAUUAAAAACUGUCAAGCCUGAAAAAAUAACAUCUUACAUGUGAAAAAAUAAAAUGCAGAAAUGAAAAGAAGAGUCA
rnacentral:lncRNA from 1 species